CUUAAAUGAAUUGACGGGGGCCCGCACAAGCGGUGGAGCAUGUGGUUUAAUUCGAUGCAACGCGAAGAACCUUACCUACUCUUGACAUCCAGAGAACUUAGCAGAGAUGCUUUGGUGCCUUCGGGAACUCUGAGACAGGUGCUGCAUGGCUGUCGUCAGCUCGUGUUGUGAAAUGUUGGGUUAAGUCCCGCAACGAGCGCAACCCUUAUCCUUUGUUGCCAGCGGUCCGGCCGGGAACUCAAAGGAGACUGCCAGUGAUAAACUGGAGGAAGGUGGGGAUGACGUCAAGUCAUCAUGGCCCUUACGAGUAGGGCUACACACGUGCUACAAUGGCAUAUACAAAGAGAAGCGACCUCGCGAGAGCAAGCGGACCUCAUAAAGUAUGUCGUAGUCCGGAUUGGAGUCUGCAACUCGACUCCAUGAAGUCGGAAUCGCUAGUAAUCGUAGAUCAGAAUGCUACGGUGAAUACGUUCCCGGGCCUUGUACACACCGCCCGUCACACCAUGGGAGUGGGUUGCAAAAGAAGUAGGUAGCUUAACCUUCGGGAGGGCGCUUACCACUUUGUGAUUCAUGACUGGGGUGAAGUCGUAACAAGGUAAC
rnacentral:rRNA from 1 species